rnacentral:rRNA from 1 species
CAAGUCGAACGAGAUUUUUUCCUGUAGCAAUACAGGGAAAAGUCUAGUGGCGAACGGGUGCGUAACACGUGGGCAAUCUGCCUUAAAGUGGGGGAUAGCUCGGCGAAAGCCGAAUUAAUACCGCAUGUGAUCAGGGGAGACAUCUUCCCGAAAUCAAAAGUGGCGCAAGCUACUGCUCUUUGAGGAGCCCGCGGCCUAUCAGCUAGUUGGCGAGGUAACGGCUCACCAAGGCUUUGACGGGUAGCUGGUCUGAGAGGACGACCAGUCACACUGGAACUGAGACACGGUCCAGACACCUACGGGUGGCAGCAGUCGAGAAUUUUUCUCAAUGGGGGAAACCCUGAAGGAGCGACGCCGCGUGGAGGAUGAAGGUCUUCGGGUUGUAAACUCCUGUCAUUUGGGAACAAGUGUCGGUACCUAACUGCUACCGGCUUGAUAGUACCAGAAGAGGAAGGGACGGCUAACUCUGUGCCAGCAGCCGCGGUAAUACAGAGGUCUCAAGCGUUGUUCGGAUUCAUUGGGCGUAAAGGGUGUGUAGGUGGCGCCGUAAGUCGGGUGUGAAAUUUCGGAGCUUAACUCCGAAACUGCAUUCGAUACUGCGGUGCUUGAGGACUGGAGAGGAGACUGGAAUUCAUGGUGUAGCAGUGAAAUGCGUAGAGAUCAUGAGGAAGACCAGUGGCGAAGGCGGGUCUCUGGACAGUUCCUGACACUGAGACACGAAGGCCAGGGGAGCAAACGGGAUUAGAUACCCCGGUAGUCCUGGCAGUAAACGGUGCACGUUUGGUGUGGGAGGAUUCGACCCCUUCUGCGCCGGAGCUAACGCGUUAAACGUGCCGCCUGGGGAGUACGGUCGCAAGAUUAAAACUCAAAGAAAUUGACGGGGGCCCGCACAAGCGGUGGAGUAUGUGGCUUA